AGAAAAAUAAGCUAAUAAAUAAGCUAUUGGGUUCAUACCUCAAAAAUGGAAAUUUAUCCUUUUUCUA
rnacentral:tRNA from 1 species